AUGAACGCUGGCGGCGUGCCUAAUACAUGCAAGUCGAACGAAACUUCUUUAUCACCGAGUGCUUGCACUCACCGAUAAAGAGUUGAGUGGCGAACGGGUGAGUAACACGUGGGCAACCUGCCCAAAAGAGGGGGAUAACACUUGGAAACAGGUGCUAAUACCGCAUAACCAUAGUUACCGCAUGGUAACUAUGUACAAGGUGGCUAUACUACCGCUUUUGGAUGGGCCCGCGGCGCAUUAGCUAGUUGGUAGGGUAAAGGCUUACCAAGGCAAUGAUGCGUAGCCGAAUUGAGAGGUUGAUCGGCCACAUUGGGACUGAGACACGGCCCAAACUCCUACGGGAGGCAGCAGUAGGGAAUCUUCCACAAUGGGCGAAAGCCUGAUGGAGCAACGCCGCGUGGGUGAAGAAGGUCUUCGGAUCGUAAAACCCUGUUGUUAGAGAAGAAAGUGCGUGAGAGUAACUGUUCACGUUUCGACGGUAUCUAACCAGAAAGCCACGGCUAACUACGUG
rnacentral:rRNA from 1 species